rnacentral:rRNA from 1 species
AUUGAACGCUGGCGGCAUGCUUUACACAUGCAAGUCGAACGGUAACAGGCCUUCGGGUGCUGACGAGUGGCGAACGGGUGAGUAAUGCAUCGGAACGUGCCCAGAGGUGGGGGAUAACGCAGCGAAAGCUGUGCUAAUACCGCAUGUGAUCUGAGGAUGAAAGCGGGGGACCAGGCAGCAAUGUUUGGCCUCGCGCCUUUGGAGCGGCCGAUGUCAGAUUAGGUAGUUGGUGGGGUAAAGGCCUACCAAGCCGACGAUCUGUAGCUGGUCUGAGAGGACGACCAGCCACACUGGGACUGAGACACGGCCCAGACUCCUACGGGAGGCCGCAGUGGGGAAUUUUGGACAAUGGGCGCAAGCCUGAUCCAGCAAUGCCGCGUGCGGGAAGAAGGCCUUCGGGUUGUAAACCGCUUUUGUACGGAACGAAAAGGCUCUAGCUAAUACCUGGGGCUGAUGACGGUACCGUAAGAAUAAGCACCGGCUAACUACGUG